GAUCUCAUCUCCAACUUCAUCACCCUAAAUGUUCAAUAGAUCCCUAGGUCCAAGACCAUGAGGGUAGAUCUCCUGUCAAAGCUUACCACCCUUGGAAUCACUGACCUUAAAAGAAGCUCAUAUAUGGAGACUUUGAAGCACCCCAGCGUCGAGGAGGCCCUAGUAAUGCAAGCAGAUCCUUAGCUGAGCUCGAUAGAUCUGAUCGUCCAAUUUUUGCGAGCCAAAGUUCUACCUAUUGAUCGAGAAGAAGUCAGGAAGCUAAGGCACCUCGCACCUCGAUAUGCGAUAUAUGAGGGGAAGCUGUGCAAGAGAUCAUUUUUAUUAUCAUUGCUUCAGUGCCUCCACCCC
rnacentral:lncRNA from 1 species